rnacentral:rRNA from 1 species
AUUGAACGCUGGCGGCAGGCCUAACACAUGCAAGUCGAACGGCAGCACGGUGAGUGCUCCCGGUUUCAGCGGGGGACGGGCGGGUGAUUGCGAGGAACAUCCGUAUUUGCUUUGGCGAACGUCCGAACGCGGGCGCAAUUACGCCAAUAGCGCAGACGGCGUAAGUGUGGGAGCUUCGGAUCUCCCGCCCUCAGGUGAUCGUAGGAGGCGAUGUCGGAUUAGCUAGUUGGCGGGGUAAAGGCCCACCAAGGCGACGAUCCGUAGCUGGUCUGAGAGGAUGAUCAGCCACACUGGAACUGAGACACGGUCCAGACUCCUACGGGAGGCAGCAGUGGGGAAUAUUGGACAAUGGGCGAAAGCCUGAUCCAGCCAUGCCGCGUGUGUGAAGAAGGUCUUCGGAUUGUAAAGCACUUUUGGUGGGAAAGAAAAGCAGUAAGUUAAUACCUUGCUGUUUUGACGGUACCAAAAGAAUAAGCACCGGCUAACUUCGUG